AACUCUGAUCCCUUGCUAAAACUAUGUUCUCUUUCAUAUAUUUUAGUCUUUACUGAUCCUUUCUCUUGUUAUAACCCAAAGUAAUGGUAAGAGUCAUCAACUCCCAGCUUCUCCAAAUCCUCAGUAGUCUUUUGUGGAACAAAUGUCACAUUUGUAAGAUGAUAUUCUGCCCAGGGGUCAUUUGUAACCAUAUUUUGGCCUAGCGUUCCUCAGUUUCACACCUGGAUUUCUUUAAAACUCUUAAUUUCUAUACUGCCUAAAAUGUUUAAAUCUAUUUUGGGGAGUAUAAUAGUGUUUUUAUUAACACUUAAACUUUCACUGACAAUGCUAAAUUCUAGAGCUUUAAGGGUAUAAUGUGAAACAGCAUAAUAUACUAACAAAAUUUAAGAGGUAGUAUAACUGUACCUCUGUUCACAAGUAUGGGGACAAGCCCUGCAAGGCUAAAAGCUCAGGACUCAAAAGGUCCUCAGUUGCUGACAUAAUCUCCGUUUGACCUCAGACAGGAUGCACCAAGCAGCCUUGUCCGAUUACAAAAACCACUCACUUCAGGACCAACAGUAACAGGAUUGGAAAGAACCAGUUCAAGAUUGUGGGGGCUGGUCUGAAACGAGCUAGGUUAGCUGGGGGCUAUUGCACCUCAAGUCCAGGAUUGGUAGAAUGGUUCUGAAACGGCUCAUUUCCAAAGUUCCUAAGAUGCUUUUCCCCAACAGAGGCUUAAAUCUAUUUUAAUCUAUCCAUUUGACAUGGUCAUAUUUCUCUUUUAAAAGUCAAAGUAGAAUGGGAACAUCCUGAUCAAUUUAGCUGAACUUGUGUUUGGGGAAGAGUAGUACAAGACAGCUAGAAUUAAGGGUGGUAGAGGUAUAAGAAAGAAAAGUGAUGACACUUGUUUUGUCCCGAGAAAGAGAGAGGGGGCAGGUCCUAAUUUCAGGAGUGACAUCCCAUUGCUCAUGUGGUCAUAUUCUUUUAAUUGGAAGUGAAUCAAGCAGUAGGUCCAGUCCACACUCAAGGAGAGAGGAUUACACAGGGGAGUGAAUAUCAAGAGGCAGAAAUAACUGGAAGCAGCAUAGAGGCAGCAUUCCACAUCCCCCUUUGGCUUUCUAGAGGUGACUAUUUCAUUGUUGUUCUUAAAAGGUUAGGCUAAUUUAAAUCAUGACCAAAUUAUGCUACAACUUUUAAUCAAUCUUUUACCCUAGGCCACACAUUUCCUGGUCCAGCCCAGCCCACUGUUUUCCAGACUGUAAUACAAGGCCACUCUUCUUCUUUACAGGUGGUCAUCCCUUUUCAGGCCUUCAACUGAUGCUCUUCUGUUGACAAGCUCAAAUCUCUUACCCAAAUUUUAUAUCCUACGGCUCUUCAUUUGUCCUCCAAAAACUCUUUAGAUUUUUCACUUUUGGAGUUCCACUGUGGCUCAGUGGUAUUUAUCCAUGAGGACAUGGGUUCGAUCCCUGGCCUCACUCAGUGGAUUAAGGAUCCGGCGUUGCCGUGAACUGUGGUGUGGGUCACAGAUGCAGCUGGGAUCCAGCAUUGCUGUGGCUGUGGUAUAGGCUGGCAGCUAUAGCUCUGAUUCGACCCCUAGCCUGGAACCUCUAUAUGCUGCUGGUGCGGCCCUAAAAUGACAGAAGCCCCCCCCCAAAAAAAUUGCUCUUUAGGACUAAUAAAUUAUUUAAGGAAUUCCUGUUGUGGUGCAGCAGAAAUGAAUCCAAUGGGAACCAUGAGGUUUCAGGUUCAAUCCCUGGCCUUGCUCAGUGGGUUAAGGAUCCAGCAUUGCUGUGACCUGUGGCGUAGGUUGCAGAUGCAGCAGCAGCUCUGAUUAGGCCCCUAACCUGGGAACCUCCAUAUGCUGUGGGCAUGGCCCUAAAAAAAAAAAAAAAAAGAAAUAAUUUUAAGAUCUGGAAGGGAGAGUUGAUAUGUGAUGUUAGAAUAUAAUGGUCUAAACAUUCUUUUGCCCUAACAAACCGCAGACUCAUUCAGUCAGGUGUCUGUUGAGGCAAUCUAGCCUCGUACCUGCAUUUGCAUCCAUGCAGUCUACCUUUUCUCCUGGCCAGAUGCCUACAAAGCCAAGGGCCCAUUCAGGCUCCAGGAUCCAUCUCCUCUCACCUCUUCAGGGCCUGGAGUCCAUCCCUCCUAACACAUAAGGAUGUUGGUCCACCAAUAUGCUUUCUUGAAUCAUCAGUUUUCCCAUCUCCACUAGGAUCUCUCCUCUGAAUGCCAACAUGGUAUGUUGUUUCUCGUAAAGAUCGUAAAGUCUUUCUUUUGAUCCCAUCUACUGUCCCUGCUAUAUCUUCUCUCCUUUUUCAGCAAAAUCCUUGAGAGUUUUGUACAAUUGCUGCCUCUAGUCUUCAUUCAUUACGAAAUCCAAUCCAACCAGUCUACUGAACUGCACUAUCAAGAUCACCAUGACUGCCAUGUUGUUAAAUCCAAGGGUUAAGUCUCAAACAUCUCACUUGUUGUGCAAUUACUCCCCUCUUGGAAACACCCUGCUCCUCUUGGCUUCCAGGAUGCCAUACUUUCCCACUUUGCUGGUUGUGCCCUCUGUCUUCCUUGGUUUCUCUUCAUCUCCACAGAUGUCAUGGUAGAGUACCGUGAACUUUUCUGUUUAUACUAGGUCCCUUUUUUAAAAUUUUUAAAUUAGAGUUGAUUAUAAAAUUAUAGUUGGCAGAAUUUUGUGCCAAUUUCAGCUGUACAACAGACUCAGUUAUACAAAUAUAUACACAUAUAUUUCUGUGUGUGUAUAUAUAUAUUUACAUAUUAUUUUAAAUUUUCUUUUCCAUCAUGAUCUAUCCUAGGACAUUGGAUAUAGUUCUCUGUGCUAUACAGUAGGACCUUUCUAAAUGUGAUAGUUUGCAUCUACUAACCCCAAACUCCGUCUCUCUCCCUCCCCUCUCCCCCUUGGCAACCACAAACCUGUUAUCUAUGUCUGUGGGUCUGCUUCUGUUUUAUAGAUAGGUUCAUUUGUGCCAUGUUUAAUUUAAUUAAUUUAUUUUGGCUAUGCCCAUAGCAUGUGAAAGCUCUCAGGCCAGGGAUCAAACCCAAGCCAUAGCAGUGACAAUGCUGAAUCCACUAGGCCAUCAGGGAAUGCUCAUGUGCCAUAUUUCAGAUUCCACAUGUAAGUGAAACGGUAUUUGUCUUUCUGACCUACUUCACUUAGUAUGAUAAUCUCUAGUUUCUUGCACAUUGCUGCAUCAUUCUCUUGGUUUUACAUACCAUUUAUACGCUGAUGAUUCUCAAACUUACAUUCCUAGUCAUAACCUCUCCCCAACUCCAGACUCAUAAUAGUGAUUUUUUAAAAUACCAGAAAUAGUGCAAAGAUGACUUCAAAGUGAGAACAUCUGAGCUUUAACAGAUGCUGAAAGAACUUAUCUGACUUCUCUUAUUUGACUCAAACAAGAGCUUCAUGACAAUCAGUGACCUGCCCUUCCCAGCAAGUGUCCUGUCAGGGAAGUGACCAACCUCAAGCAUUCCAAAACUCAGCUCAACUCAUUUCAGUAAGCCCUAUCAGAACUUUCCAUCCUUGGAAGACCUAAACUUCCCCUGUCUCUGCUGCCCUUUAUUAAGCUGGCAUAUAACCCUUUACCUCUCGCUGUUUGGGGACCUACUCUAGAGUACGCCUCCAUGCAUAAUAAACUUUUCUCUCCUGCUGGUCAAUUAAUUUGCCGGCUCUGAUAACUAGGACCUUGGGUAGAGAACAGAAUUUCCUCCCAUCAAUAACUUAAACACCUCCUUGAUAGCUCUAUUUGGUUGAAAAGAGGCAUCCUGUACUGAGUCCCAAAGGAAACUCUGACCUCCAAACCUCCGCCCCCACAUCCUCAUCCUGCUUCUAUUGCCUAGACACCCAGAAUCUAACCACUUCCCACCGACCCCACGGUUACCACUGUGGUUCCCAGUCACAGUCCAUUCUCGCCUGGGUUGUUACAAUAGACUCCCCAC
rnacentral:lncRNA from 1 species